ACGCUCGACACCUACGGGAGGCGGCAGUGGGGAAUAUUACACAAUGGGGGAAACCCUGAUGCAGCGACGCCGCGUGGAGGAAGAAGGUCUUCGGAUUGUAAACUCCUGUUGUUGGGGAAAAAGAGGAUGGUACCCAACAAGGAAGUGACGGCUAACUACGUGCCAGCAGCCGCGGUAAUCUGAGCGGGCUGGCAAGGC
rnacentral:rRNA from 1 species